CCUACGGGGGGCUGCAGUGGGGAAUAUUGGGCAAUGGGCGCAAGCCUGACCCAGCAACGCCGCUUGAAGGAAGAAGGCUUUCGGGUUGUAAACUUCUUUUCUGAGGGACGAAGAAAGUGACGGUACCUCAGGAAUAAGCCACGGCUAACUAAGUGCCAGCAGCCGCGGUAAUACGUAGGUGGCAAGCGUUAUCCGGAUUUAUUGGGUGUAAAGGGCGUGUAGGCGGGAAAGCAAGUCAGAUGUGAAAACUCAGGGCUCAACCCUGAGCCUUCAUUUGAAACUGUUUUUCUUGAGUGCUGGAGCGGCAAUCGGAAUUCCGUGUGUAGCGGUGAAAUGCGUAGAUAUACGGAGGAACACCAGUGGCGAAGGCGGAUUGCUGGACAGUAACUGACGCUGAGGCGCGAAAGCGUGGGGAGCAAACAGGAUUAGAGACCCCAGUAGUC
rnacentral:rRNA from 1 species